UGGGGAAUAUUGCACAAUGGGCGCAAGCCUGAUGCAGCCAUGCCGCGUGUAUGAAGAAGGCCUUCGGGUUGUAAAGUACUUUCAGCGGGGAGGAAGGGAGUAUAGUUAAUACCUUUGCUCAUUGACGUUACCCGCAGAAGAAGCACCGGCUAACUCCGUGCCAGCAGCCGCGGUAAUACGGAGGGUGCAAGCGUUAAUCGGAAUUACUGGGCGUAAAGCGCACGCAGGCGGUUUGUUAAGUCAGAUGUGAAAUCCCCGGGCUCAACCUGGGAACUGCAUCUGAUACUGGCAAGCUUGAGUCUCGUAGAGGGGGGUAGAAUUCCAGGUGUAGCGGUGAAAUGCGUAGAGAUCUGGAGGAAUACCGGUGGCGAGGGCGGCCCCCGGGACGAAGACUGACGCUCAGGUGCGAAAGCGUGGGGAGCAAACAGG
rnacentral:rRNA from 1 species